AUCCGGUACAGCCAGGCUCGCAACGUCGAGCGGCCUUCGAAGCCGCCGAGGUUCUUCCACGCACGCAGGAACGUCUCCUGCACCAGAUCC
rnacentral:tRNA from 1 species